rnacentral:rRNA from 1 species
UAAUACAGAGGGUGCAAACGUUGCUCGGAAUUAUUGGGCGUAAAGCGCGUGUAGGCGGCUUGUUAAGUCGGUUGUGAAAACCCAUGGCUCAACCAUGGAAGGGCGUCCGAAACUGGCAAGCUAGAGUCCCGACGAGGAUGGCGGAAUUCCCAGUGUAGAGGUGAAAUUCGUAGAUAUUGGGAGGAACACCGGUGGCGAAGGCGGCCAUCUGGGAGGGCACUGACGCUGAGACGCGAAAGCGUGGGGAGCAAACAGGAUUAGAUACCCUGGUAGUCCACGCCGUAAACGAUGAGCACUAGAUGUUGCGGGUAUUGACCCCUGCAGUGUCGACGCUAACGCAUUAAGUGCUCCGCCUGGGGAGUACGGCCGCAAGGCUA